GGGCGUGUGGCUCAGUUGGUAGAGCGUUCGCUUCGCAUGCGAAAAGUCCUGGGUUCGAUUCCCAGCUCGUCCA
rnacentral:tRNA from 1 species